CUCAACGACCCAAUUCUGAUCUUUUCACCCAAAAGAAAAUCCAAUCUGUGCCACUUCCAUAUGUGGAACUAAUUCAGAUAAAUAUCUGAUUGUUUUCAAAAUUAAGAAAAAUGGACUUUGGAAACUAAUUUCUGUGUCGUUUCAAGGGAACACAGUUACUGACGGGAACUUCAUACGAACAACACAGAACCUGUUUGAGAAUCUGGACUCUUCAGAACUCACUUCACAAAAUCCAGUGAUCAGCAGCCUUCAGGUUCAGAGAGUCUCCAGCACCGCUUUGACAGAUUUACACAAAACUGCAGAAAGACCUUCAACCACAGCAGCAACAUCCAAACAAAUCAGGAUAUCAGCUCUUCCUCUGAUUGUCGGUGGAGUUGCCACGGCGACUGGUGUCUCAAUGGCCGUGUUUCUAAUUCUGCUUUACCAAUGGAGGACGAGAGCCAAUGCUGCAGACACGAGAACGUCAGACACAGAGGUGACGUAUGAAAACUGGGCACUAGGAUCCAGAUCUGAAGACUCCCACUACCAAAACCUUGAUCCAGCCAGUAUGGAUCAGGAACCAACUUAUUUAACUCUCACUUAGGACGCCAAGUUUUUACGACAUUCUCUUUAUUUGUGCUUUA